AGAGUGAACGCUGGCGGUAGGCCUAACACAUGCAAGUCGAACGGCAGCACAGUAGGAGCUUGCUCUUACGGGUGGCGAGUGGCGGACGGGUGAGGAAUACAUCGGAAUCUACCUUUUGGUGGGGGAUAACGUAGGGAAACUUACGCUAAUACCGCAUACGCCCUUCGGGGGAAAGCCGGGGACCAGCAAUGGCCUGGUGCUGAUAGAUGAGCCGAUGUCGGAUUAGCUAGUUGGUGAGGUAAUGGCUACACCAAGGCGACGAUCCGUAGCUGGUCUGAGAGGAUGAUCAGCCACACGU
rnacentral:rRNA from 1 species